AACGAGGCCGACCUGCGGCUGAGUUACCUGCGGAGGGAUCAUUACAGAGUUGCAAAACUCCCUAAACCAUUGUGAACGUUACCUAAACCGUUGCUUCGGCGGGCGGCCCGGGUCCUUCCCGGCGCCCCUCGGCCCUCGCGGGCGCCCGCCGGAGGUAAACCAAACUAUUGCAUUGUAUGGCCUCUCUGAGUCUUCUGUACUGAAUAAGUCAAAACUUUCAGCAACGGAUCUCAGAUCGGA
rnacentral:misc_RNA from 1 species